GACAGAGGGUGCAAACGUUGUUCGGAAUUACUGGGCGUAAAGCGCGUGUAGGCGGCCCUGCAAGUCGGAUGUGAAAUCCCACGGCUCAACCGUGGAAGUGCAUUCGAAACUGCAGGGCUAGAGUCCUGGAGAGGAAGGUGGAAUGCUUGGUGUAGAGGUGAAAUUCGUAGAUAUCAAGCGGAACACCGGUGGCGAAGGCGGCCUUCUGGGACAGUGACUGACGCUGAGACGCGAAAAGCGUGGGGGAGCAAACAGGG
rnacentral:rRNA from 1 species